UUAGAGUUUGAUCCUGGCUCAGAUUGAACGCUGGCGGCAGGCCUAACACAUGCAAGUCGAGCGGAAACGAUCCUAGCUUGCUAGGAGGCGUCGAGCGGCGGACGGGUGAGUAAUGCAUAGGAAUCUGCCCGGUAGUGGGGGAUAACGUGGGGAAACUCACGCUAAUACCGCAUACGCCCUACGGGGGAAAGCAGGGGAUCUUCGGACCUUGCGCUAUCGGAUGAGCCUAUGUCGGAUUAGCUUGUUGGUGAGGUAAUGGCUCACCAAGGCGACGAUCCGUAGCUGGUCUGAGAGGAUGAUCGGCCACACUGGGACUGAGACACGGCCCAGACUCCUACGGGAGGCAGCAGUGGGGAAUAUUGGACAAUGGGGGAAACCCUGAUCCAGCCAUGCCGCGUGUGUGAAGAAGGCUUUCGGGUUGUAAAGCACUUUCAGCGCUGAAGAAGGCCUGACGGUUAAUACCUGUCAGGAAGGACAUCACUCGCAGAAGA
rnacentral:rRNA from 1 species